rnacentral:rRNA from 1 species
AUUGAACGCUGGCGGAAUGCUUUACACAUGCAAGUCGAACGGCAGCACGGACUUCGGUCUGGUGGCGAGUGGCGAACGGGUGAGUAAUACAUCGGAACGUGCCCAGUCGUGGGGGAUAACGUAGCGAAAGCUACGCUAAUCCCGCAUACGAUCUAAGGAUGAAAGCGGGGGAUCGCAAGACCUCGCGCGAUUGGAGCGGCCGAUGGCAGAUUAGGUUGUUGGUAGGGUAAAGGCCUACCAAGCCGACGAUCUGUAGCUGGUCUGAGAGGAUGAUCAGCCACACUGGGACUGAGACACGGCCCAGACUCCUACGGGAGGCAGCAGUGGGGAAUUUUGGACAAUGGGCGCAAGCCUGAUCCAGCCAUUCCGCGUGCAGGAUGAAGGCCUUCGGAUUGUAAACUGCUUUUGUACAGAACGAAAAGGCUCUGGUCAAUACCCGGGGCUCAUGACGGUACUGUAAGAAUAAGCACCGGCUAACUACGUGCCAGCCGCCGCCGUAA